GUUUGUCGCGUUGUUCGUGAAAUCUCACGGCUUAACUGUGAGCGUGCGGGCGAUACGGGCAGACUUGAGUACUGCAGGGGAGACUGGAAUUCCUGGUGUAGCGGUGGAAUGCGCAGAUAUCAGGAGGAACACCGGUGGCGAAGGCGGGUCUCUGGGCAGUAACUGACGCUGAGGAGCGAAAGCGUGGGGAGCGAACAGGAUUAGAUACCCUGGUAGUCCACGCCGUAAACGGUGGGUACUAGGUGUGGGUUUCCUUCCUUGGGAUCCGUGCCGUAGCUAACGCAUUAAGUACCCCGCCUGGGGAGUACGGCCGCAAGGCUAAAACUCAAAGAAAUUGACGGGGGCCCGCACAAGCGGCGGAGCAUGUGGAUUAAUUCGAUGCAACGCGAAGAACCUUACCUGGGUUUGACAUGCACAGGACGCCGGCAGAGAUGUCGGUUCCCUUGUGGCCUGUGUGCAGGUGGUGCAUGGCUGUCGUCAGCUCGUGUCGUGAGAUGUUGGGUUAAGUCCCGCAACGAGCGCAACCCUUGUCUCAUGUUGCCAGCGGGUAAUGCCGGGGACUCGUGAGAGACUGCCGGGGUCAACUCGGAGGAAGGUGGGGAUGACGUCAAGUCAUCAUGCCCCUUAUGUCCAGGGCUUCACACAUGCUACAAUGGCCGGUACAAAGGGCUGCGAUGCCGCGAGGUUAAGCGAAUCCUUUUAAAGCCGGUCUCAGUUCGGAUCGGGGUCUGCAACUCGACCCCGUGAAGUCGGAGCCG
rnacentral:rRNA from 1 species